ensembl:lncRNA
GGAGCAUGCAAUAAUGUCACCUCACAAACCUGUGGGUGCAUAAAUGUGCUUCCUCCUGGUGGAGAAUUAUGUCAACCAAUCUCAACUUUCACUCCAUGUAUAACAUCAGCUACAACUACAUUACCAUCAGUUACAACUACAACAAUGACGAUAACACCAACAAUGCCAAACACAACAACAACAAUGCCCUUUCUACCACCACCACUGACAACCACAACAUCAACAACAACAACCACAGCAUCAUCAACAACAACAACCACCACAACAUCAACAACUGCACAGAUGAAGAAGACACUAGAAAUAACUAUGGAUGUUGAAUUCAAGGAAGAAUACAAUCAGGAAACCAAUGACUUUCACAGAAAUGUUAGCAACACUAUCAGGGAUGAAGGACUGAAGCAAGGAAUAGAAGCAAAAUUAAUCAACUUCCGGAGUGGAAGUACCAUUGCCCAAUAUCAAGUCAGUGCUAACUCUUCUGUUACACCAGACUUUCAAGCACUAAAUUUAAAAAUAGCUGGCAAGCUGGCAGAAUCAUACCCUGUGGUAUUUGAGGCAUCGGGUCCCCUGACAUUUGUGCCAAAUGAUGGAUUUUAUGAGGAAACAGUGACUGUCACAUGUGGCCCUCCACCAGUGAAUCUCAAUUUUGGCACUGUCUCAGCAGCAGAGUGGAGACGUAAUACGGUGCUCAUAUCUGAAGAUGGAGAACACAGAAUUUCAAUUAAGGAUGGAAAAUCAACCUUAACUGUGUCAAGAUUUAUUAGCUCUGACAAUGGAGUUUAUGAAUGUCGGCUCAUUCGCACAAACGACAAAGCAUUUUUUCACCAGAAAUCUGCAACAUCCUUCAGUCUGAAAACAAAACCCACAAUCACAGUCUCACCAAUCAGACAGUAUGUGCAAUGUUCUGGAGGAAGUGUGGCUCUGAAGUGCAGUGUGAAUGAUGGGUAUGAGGUUCAGUUUCGGGGCAUUUUGCAAGCAGGCACUGGUACUUCAAUUACCUAUAAUUAUCCUACACCUCAAGGUUGUGAACAAGGGGAAAAGCCAAUCAUCUGUCAGUUAAAAAACCAACCGUUAUUUACAAAUGCAAUAACACUACAAUUAUCAUCACAGAGUGAGUAUUACAUUCAGAUAUUCACAAGUAUUAACUUAAGCAUGCAUUAACACACCCUCUGUCAGUGCACCCCAG